UGUGUCAGAGAAUUGUGUGAUAGAUAUUUGUUGAGGAAAAUUCACCAAAAUUCAAUUUAACGCUUUGAAGUCCAAAUAUAUGGAUUUAAGUGGUGCCUGUGAUUAUUGGAGUUUGGCCAUGACAAGAAGGAACAAAUAGGAUGAGUAACACAGGGAACCAGUGGAGCUUGGCCGUAUAACUAUCGAAGCUUGGUCGUGGCAAGAUUGAUGUUAUGGCUGCGAUGUCCGCUUUAUAGUGAACGGCGACGAGGGUCACUAGCAAAGAUUUCCAGCUUCCAAAAAAUUAAUGCAUUGCCCGUCGCACGGGAUGAGGCCCAUAAAUUGAGUGAGCGGGCGUGAGAGGUUCAUUAACUGUAGGUGGAUGGGCGUUACGAAUAGUGUUAGAUCCAAAUUUAAACGAGUAAGUAAUCAUGUGUAGGUUCACACUAACAUUGAUGACAAUACUGGAGCGCAAUGACAACGUUGCAUUAUGUGGUGACCAUAAUAUCUUGGUUUGUGGUAUAUGUUGAAAUGCAUGCACUUAUCUUCCGGAUCAUACCUUCCAAAAGAUUUUCAAA